rnacentral:rRNA from 1 species
AGUGAACGCUGGCGGUAGGCCUAACACAUGCAAGUCGAAUGGCAGCACAGUAAGAGCUUGCUCUUACGGGUGGCGAGUGGCGGACGGGUGAGGAAUACAUCGGAAUCUAUUUUUUCGUGGGGGAUAACGUAGGGAAACUUACGCUAAUACCGCAUACGACCUACGGGUGAAAGCAGGGGAUCUUCGGACCUUGCGCGAUUGAAUGAGCCGAUGUCGGAUUAGCUAGUUGGCGGGGUAAAGGCCCACCAAGGCGACGAUCCGUAGCUGGUCUGAGAGGAUGAUCAGCCACACUGGAACUGAGACACGGUCCAGACUCCUACGGGAGGCAGCAGUGGGGAAUAUUGGACAAUGGGCGCAAGCCUGAUCCAGCCAUACCGCGUGGGUGAAGAAGGCCUUCGGGUUGUAAAGCCCUUUUGUUGGGAAAGAAAAGCAGCAGGUUAAUACCCCGCUGUUCUGACGGUACCCAAAGAAUAAGCACCGGCUAACUUCGUG